CCGUACAGGGGGCCAAUUCUCGAUUUUCGCCAUUUAUCUCGAGUUCGACAUUGUAAGUCUAUCUCUAUGUCUAUCAAAAAUAUCUCUAUCUCUACCAAAAAAUGUCGAAUUGCACAGAAAUCCGUAUUCUCAGUCAAAAUAGAAACAAAUGUCACGAAAAUGUCGAGUCGAGUAAAGAUAAUGUUACCAUUAUGCAGAAUCGCACGUUCCAUUUUAGGUAGUUAUGAGUGAAUGAAUGAUUUUGUCAUAAAACGUUCACUAAACCUAAUUAUUUAAGUUAAAACGGAACGUUUAGUGCAAAAAUAAUCAGUUUGAUAGUUGACUGUCUGUCAGUGUCAUAAUUUGCAUUUUUUUUCGGUUGUUUCAAAACUUUUGUGUUUACAAUAUUUACAUAACUCACUAGUGGGUUGUGCUGUUUUAUAUGUGAUAAUUUUGUAUUUUAACAUGGAGGGGAAAAAAUACCCCAGUCCACAACAAAAACAAUUACUCGUUCAACUCAUUGAAGCAGACAUGGAAUUGAGGGGAGGUAAAUUCUCCUACAGUUUCUCAAAGAAGAAGAUGCCAUCGUUAAACAGUUAAAAUAUGCUGUGGCCGGUGCCAAAAAAUCUUGGGUUGGUUGGCGCGAAAGUCGGCAAGACAAAAGCAAAAAUAAAACAAAAAUUAGCUACAAUUAGAAGACAAUCUAUGUUGACUGGUAGAGGUCCACCACCAGAACAAUGAAAUGAAAAGGAACAAUUGGUGCUUGCCAAAUUUUGUACAGCUGCACUUGUUGGCCACAUAGAUGCCCUUGAUUUAGCCACACCGAGUACUGCAAAAGUCGGCAUGUAUAUGGCUGCUCAAGAGACCUCUGGAUCUCGAGGCAAUUCUACUUUCAGUACUAUUUGAUGAUUUUAAUUGCAUAGACGAGUUAAUGAUCAAGAAACUGUUUACAAUCGAUUUAAUUGUAAAAAUCCUGAUCUUGGUUUACAUUUAAAGUUAUUUUUUAAAGAAUAUAAUAAUAAUUAUUAUUAUUAUGAGAAAGAUUAAGCUGUGAUUUUAUAAUUAGUCUGCUAACACUCUACCUCUAAGUUAUGUGAUUAUGUAGAGGUACAUACAUGCACCCAAAUGAUUGUUAAAUAUUUACAUUUAUGCCGUAAUGAUUGUUUUUUAUU